rnacentral:rRNA from 1 species
UACGUAGGGGGCAAGCGUUGUCCGGAAUCAUUGGGCGUAAAGAGCGUGUAGGCGGCCAGAUAAGUCCGCUGUGAAAUCUCGAGGCUCAACUUCGAGCUGUCGGUGGAAACUGUCUGGCUAGAGUCCGGAAGAGGAGAAUGGAAUUCCUGGUGUAGCGGUGAAAUGCGCAGAUAUCGGGAAGAACACCCGUGGCGAAGGCGGUUCUCUGGGACGGUACUGACGCUGAGACGCGAAAGCGUGGGGAGCAAACAGG